AUCUUCUUUGCAAACUGCACUAGGGGUCUCUCUCUCUCUCUCUCUGCGCGUAUUAACCAUACAUAUACAACGCUAGCUGGCCAACCCCACCUCUCUUUCAUUCUUAGCUAUAUAACCAAACUCUACAAUACGGUUUCUGCAGCAGCUUCUUUGCAAACUGCAAACUGUACGUACGGGGUUUCUCUCUCUCUCUCUCUCUCACACACACACACACACACACAAAUAUCCGUACACACUAUAUAUACAACAAUUCAGACAUUUACAAAAUAUGGAAAGCCAGGGGAUCCUAUGUGUAUAUAUAUAUAUAUAGAUUCACCAAGCUACUUAGCACAUCUUUAUGGUGUAUUCAUUGUGACUUAUACAUUGCAUAUGCAUGAAACAGGUUCUUACUGAGAAGAUAGAUAUCAAGGUAGAACAGCAGUUGGUAGCUAUAUAUAGCUUUAUAUAUAUAUUUGAAGAAUGUGGAAGCUUAAGGUUGCAGAUGGAGGGAAUGACCCUUACCUCUACAGCACAAACGACUUUGUGGGGAGGCAGAUAUCUGAGUUUGAUGCCGAGGCAGGAACUCCAGAAGAGCGAGCUGAGGUGGAAGAAGCUCGUCUUAAUUUCUACAAUAAUCGCUAUCAGGUCAAGCCUAGCAGUGACAUCCUAUGGCGUAUGCAGGUAUUUAUCCACUUAAUUUCGUUAGUACUUGGUAAUGUUCCCUUUUAGGGCCAGUUUAGCAUUGAUGUGCUGUGAAAAUAAUCGUUGUCAGAUUUGCUGUGAGAGAAAUCAGCUGUGAGAGAAAACAGUUUGGCGUUUGGUAAAUUUUUUGUUAAAAGUGUUGUUGGUACUGACUCCAGCAUAAUCAGAAAAUGAUUGCAGC
rnacentral:lncRNA from 1 species